GUUUUCUUGGAGGAAUUUCGGUCAAGAUUUCUGCCCUAAAGCUGUCCAACUAAGUUCUUGAGGAUCUCAAGAGGACUUCGAGGGAACUCCCGGCGAAGCGUCUUAGAGCUAAUUUCUCAAACUUUGACUUUUGAUACUUGGUUUGGAAGUGGAAGUUCUAAGGCUUAAUUAGUGACCCC